AGCAGAAGACUGCCCCUCCCUGAGCCUGGUUCUGCUGGAGGUUUCUUCCUGUUAAAAACCUUCCUGUCCUCAGUCAUCUCGAUGGAGGCCACAGGCGUUCCCAGCACCCGAACAUUGUACUUCUCCAAGAUGCCGAGCUUUGUCAGCUCCACGCCACAGUUCAGAGCGGUCUGACCACCAAAGGUCAUCAUUCUGGCAUACUUUGGAGUCAACCGAUAACUUUGCACAUGCUGCCAAACUUCUGAUGGAGGUGAAAACUGUCCCCAGCGUGGUGACAAGCAAUGCCGGGAUGGCCAUACCUCCUAAAGUCAUGUACAAAAUCAUCUGAGAUUUUGUCUGCCUGUACUUGUGUUUAUAAAGAGUAAGGUCAUUUAUGCAAAUCACUUAAAUUCAAAAUCAGGGGUGUAUGACUACAUGUAAAAUUCUCUUAUUUCUUGCAGAAUAAACUCAAACAUGUA